rnacentral:rRNA from 1 species
UCCUACGGGAAGCAGCAGUGAGGAAUAUUGGUCAAUGGGCUUACGCCUGAACCAGCCAAGUCGCGUGAGGGUAGACUGCCCUAUGGGUUGUAAACCUCUUUUGUCAGGGGGCAAUUGGCGCUACGUGUAGCGUUAUCGAGAGUACCUGAAGAAAAAGCAUCGGCUAACUCCGUGCCAGCAGCCGCGGUAAUACGGAGGAUGCGAGCGUUAUCCGGAUUUAUUGGGUUUAAAGGGUGCGUAGGCGGAGUGUCAAGUCAGCGGUAAAAUUUCGGGGCUCAACCCCGUCGUGCCGUUGAAACUGACAC